AGCUGAGGCCCUGGCACUGCUGCCCACAGAGGCCGUGGGUGCCCCAGCCCUGCAGGUGCACUCGAUUCAGCUCCCAUUGCAGUGAUUGAAGACGAACAGAGGAAUGUGGCUGAUGACCCUCAAACUCCCGGUGGCAUCGCAGGGCUGCGGUGCUUUGAGCCUGGAAAGCCACCAAACAUCCACCUGCUCGCUGUGUCCCUUCACACAUCCGCCUGUCACAGAAGCACAGGGGCUGGAAGGGACCUCUGCAGAUGACCGCAGCACAACCUCCCCCCAGAGCAGCUCUGCUGCAGCGGUUGCACGGGAGAGUCUGCCUUGCACUGGCGAGCCCAGAACUGACCCAGUGCUCCGCACGAGCCCAGUGCUUUCUGCGGCCCUCCAUAGCCUCCCAGGGCCACCAGUCCUGCCCAAUGCCGCCAGGUCAACACACCCAGUGCUGAGUAUGUGGCCAUCUCCUUCCCCAGGCACAAAUCGAGGCGAUGGGGGCAUUGGCAGCAGCGAUGGUGAUGAAGUCCGUUAGUCAGGAGGAGCUGGAGGAGCUGCAGCUGUAGACCCGUGGCACUACGGGGGAACCUGCAGGGCUGCAGUGUGUGCCCGGCGCCUCUGGUCCUGCUGCUGGGCACCGCUGGGUGCAGCGCGGCUCCGUCCUCUCUGCACCUCCCUGCAGGGACUGAUGGCCGUGCCUGGGAUCCCCCUGAGCCUCCUCUUCUGCAGGCCGAGCCGCCCCAGCUCUCCCGCAAUCCCAGCCCAACCAUUCCCCAUCCCUACGUUCCCACUCAGUGCUGACUGAGGAGGGGAGAGGAUUUUGGAGGGGGCAGCCCUGGGACACAACCCUUUGUGCUGCCCUGCAGUUGGAAAAUGGGGUCUGGUGGUGCUUUGGUGCUGCAGGAACAAAAGGAACAUGCAGGCACAUGCACGCACAUGGAGGUGAAGGAAAGUGGAUACAAAACAUUUAAUAAUUUAAUGCAAUUUAAUGUAAUUUAACAUAAUUCAAAACAGUCGAAGGUGGUGUUGGUGGACAGCCCAG
rnacentral:lncRNA from 1 species